UCGAGAAUCAUUCGCAAUGGGCGAAAGCCUGACGAUGCGACGCCGUGUGUGUGAUGAAGGCCUUCGGGUUGUAAAGCACUUUCGCUUGGGAACAAGAGAGGAUGGUGAAUACCCAUCUGAUUUGAGGGUACUAGGUAAAGAAGCACCGGCUAACUCCGUGCCAGCAGCUGCGGUAAUACGGAGGGUGCAAGCAUUAAUCGGAUUUAUUGGGCGUAAAGGGCGCGUAGGCGGGCCUGUAAGUCAGAUGUGAAAGCCCGGAGCUCAACUCCGGAAUUGCAUUUGAGACUGUGGGUCUAGAGGGUAGGCGGGGAAAAUGGAAUUCCACAAGUAGCGGUGAAAUGCGUAGAUAUGUGGAAGAACACCGGUGGCGAAGGCGAUUUUCUAGCUUAUACCUGACGCUGAGGCGCGAAAGCAAGGGGAUCAAACAG
rnacentral:rRNA from 1 species